rnacentral:rRNA from 1 species
CCCUUAGAUGUUCUGGGCCGCACGCGCGCUACACUGACGCAUUCAACGAGUCUCCUUGGCCGAGAGGCCUGGGUAAUCUUGUGAACGUGCGUCGUGAUAGGGAUAGAUUAUUGCAAUUAUUAAUCUUGAACGAGGAAUUCCUAGUAAACGCAGAUCAUCAAUCUGCAUUGAUUACGUCCCUGCCCUUUGUACACACCGCCCGUCGCACCUACCGAUUGGAUGGUCCGGUGAAGCCUCGGGAUUGUGGCCGGUGCAUUCACUUGUGUCGGUUGCGAGAACUUGUCUAAACCUUAUCAUCUAGAGGAAGGUGAAGUCGUAACA